GAUGAACGCUAGCUACAGGCUUAACACAUGCAAGUCGAGGGGAAACGAUAGAGAAAGCUUGCUUUUUCUAGGCGUCGACCGGCGCACGGGUGAGUAACGCGUAUCCGACCUGCCCAUCACUUGGGGAUAACCUUGCGAAAGUAAGACUAAUACCCAAUGAUAUCUCUAGAAGACAUCUGAAGGAGAUUAAAGAUUUAUCGGUGAUGGAUGGGGACGCGUCUGAUUAGCUUGUUGGCGGGGUAACGGCCAACCAAGGCGACGAUCAGUAGGGGUUCUUAGAGGAAGGUCCCCCACAUUGGAACUGAGACACGGUCCAAACUCCUACGGGAGGCAGCAGUGAGGAAUAUUGGUCAAUGAGCGAGAGCCUGAACCAGCCAAGUAGCGUGCAGGAUGACGGCCCUAUGGGUUGUAAACUGCUUUUAUAAGGGAAUAAAGUGAGUCUCGUGAGGCUUUUUGCAUGUACCUUAUGAAUAAGGACCGGCUAAUUCCGUGCCAGCCGCCGCGGUAA
rnacentral:rRNA from 1 species